rnacentral:tRNA from 1 species
UCGGGUAUAGUUUAGUGGUAAAA